GAUGAACGCUGGCGGCGUGCCUAAUACAUGCAAGUCGAGCGAACAGAUGAGGAGCUUGCUCCUCUGACUUUAUCGGCGGACGGGUGAGUAACACGUGGAUAACCUACCUAUAAGACUGGGAUAACUACGGGAAACCGGAGCUAAUACCGGAUAAUAUAUUGAACCUCAUUGUUCAAUAGUUGAAGUCGGUUUUUCUUUCACUUAUAGAUGGAUCCGCGCCGCAUUAGCUAGUUGGUAAGGUAACGGCUUACCAAGGCUACGAUGCGUGGCCGACCUGAGAGGGUGAUCGGCCACACUGGAACUGAGACACGGCCCAGACUCCUACGGGAGGCAGCAGUAGGGAAUCUUACGCGAUGGGCGAGAGCCUGACGGAGCAACGCGGCGUGAGUGAUGAAGGUCUUCGGAUCGUAAAACUCUGUUAUUAGGGAAGAACAAAUGUGUAAGUAACUAUGCACGUCUUGACGGUACCUAAUCAGAAAGCCACGGCUAACUACGUG
rnacentral:rRNA from 1 species